rnacentral:rRNA from 1 species
AUUGAACGCUGGCGGCAGGCCUAACACAUGCAAGUCGAACGAGUGGCGGACGGGUGAGUAAUGUCUGGGAAACUGCCCGAUGGAGGGGGAUAACUACUGGAAACGGUAGCUAAUACCGCAUACCAUCGGAUGUGCCCAGAUGGGAUUAGCUAGUAGGUGGGGUAAAGGCUCACCUAGGCGACGAUCCCUAGCUGGUCUGAGAGGAUGACCAGCCACACUUGAAAUGAGACACGGGCCAGACUCCUAAGGGAGGCAGACGUGGGGAAUAUUGGACAAUGGGCGCAAGCCUGAUGAAGCCAUGCCGCGUGUAUGGAGAAGGCCUUCAGGUUGUAAAGUACUUUCAGCGGGGAGGCGUUACCCGCAGAAGAAGCACCGGCUAACUCCGUGCCAGCAGCCGCGGUAAUUC